rnacentral:tRNA from 1 species
GCUCAGUGGUAGAGCACUUGCCUAGCAUGCAUGAGGUCCUGGGUUCAAUCCCCAG